rnacentral:lncRNA from 1 species
ACGAUUCUAAAAUGAUUAAAGUGAAAAAUUCGUGUUUAUAUACUUUUUUCCUCAAGUAAUUAAACACAAUAAACCGGUCAACUAAAGCAGAUAUCUUGUUUUACUUUUGUGUUUACUUUCUUUUAACAAUUAGCAAGGGACAAAUGGACAACAUAAUUCUUAAUUCUAAACAAAAUACAUUCUUCUAUGACCCCAACUUGUAGCAUAACUUUUGUAAAGUCCAAAUAAUAAUUGAGGCAAAAAUUUUGUCUCUUACAACUUCAACGUAACCAAAAACCAUCUUUUUGUUUUUGGGGUUGCAAAAGUUAAACCAGACAUAAUCAAUCAACUUGUAGUAUUGACCAAACAAAAGCCUAAAGCCAUGGUUGGAUACUCCUUAAAUUCAACAAAGGGACUUGAAACCUGUACAGUUUCUUUAGGAUAUAUAAUUAAAGCAAGAAUGACUUCUGUGGAAAUUUACUAUUUAAAUUGGGUGGAUCUCCAGUAUUUCAGGAUGACAACGAGACAAUGCAUAGUUUGCUUAUCCUAAUCACUCUUGGCAAUCAUUAUAACGAGCGAGAUUAAAGGGUCCGAGCAAAACUUAGCAUUAUAACAUUGAGUCCCUUUUCCACUAUGAGAAAUUUCCGUGGAUCUGAUCCAUGCCAUUUUCUGAUGAGCAGGAUCCUCUUAAAGAGGCAAGCUCAGAGUAUACUUUUAUGGCACUGGAUUGAGGAAGAAGGAAAUAACACUAGCUAAGUUUUCAGAGAGAGAAAGAGAAUUCAGAACAUUUUGAGAGAUAGGAAAAGUGGAUAUAUUAC